rnacentral:lncRNA from 1 species
CGCCAUAUAUUUUCCUAUUUUUUAUUUUCUGAUUUUAAUUUCUUUUAUUUUCUUUUAUUUCCUUUUAUUUCAAAAAACCAUACCUCUCUCAUUUUAAUUCCAAAAACUAUGGAACCAAUUGCAUUAUUUUCCUUUUAAUUUCUAGUUUCUAAAAAUGAUUUUUAAUAUUUUUUACUUUGUCAUUUGAUAUUUUUUGUGAAUUUUCUCUUUUCUGGUUAUUUUUAAUUCAUUUUAAAUAGUUUCCA